rnacentral:rRNA from 1 species
GACGAACGCUGGCGGCGUGCUUAACACAUGCAAGUCGAACGAAGAGCGAUGGAAGCUUGCUUCUAUCAAUCUUAGUGGCGAACGGGUGAGUAACGCGUAAUCAACCUGCCCUUCAGAGGGGGACAACAGUUGGAAACGACUGCUAAUACCGCAUACGAUCUAAACUCGGCAUCGAGGAUAGAUGAAAGGUGGCCUCUACAUGUAAGCUAUCACUGAAGGAGGGGAUUGCGUCUGAUUAGCUAGUUGGAGGGGUAACGGCCCACCAAGGCGAUGAUCAGUAGCCGGUCUGAGAGGAUGAACGGCCACAUUGGGACUGAGACACGGCCCAGACUCCUACGGGAGGCAGCAGUGGGGAAUCUUCCGCAAUAGACGAAAGUCUGACGGAGCAACGCCGCGGGAGUGAUGACGGCCUUCGGGUUGUAAAGCUCUGUUAAUCGGGACGAAAGGCCUUCUUGCGAAUAGUGAGAAGGAUUGACGGUACCGGAAUAGAAAGCCACGGCUAACUACGUG